UGGGGAAUAUUGGACAAUGGGCGAAAGCCUGAUCCAGCCAUGCCGCGUGAGUGAUGAAGGCCCUAGGGUUGUAAAGCUCUUUUGUGCGGGAAGAUAAUGACGGUACCGCAAGAAUAAGCCCCGGCUAACUUCGUGCCAGCAGCCGCGGUAAUACGAAGGGGGCUAGCGUUGCUCGGAAUCACUGGGCGUAAAGGGUGCGUAGGCGGGUUUCUAAGUCCGAGGUGAAAGCCUGGAGCUCAACUCCAGAACUGCCUUUGAUACUGGAAGUCUUGAGUUCGGGAGAGGUGAGUGGAACUGCGAGUGUAGAGGUGAAAUUCGUAGAUAUUCGCAAGAACACCAGUGGCGAAGGCGGCUCACUGGCCCGAUACUGACGCUGAGGCACGAAAGCGUGGGGAGCAAACA
rnacentral:rRNA from 1 species